GGGCUAAGGGGAGACUAAGAAAGUCGCAUAACAAUUAAUUAAUCAAACUAAUAUUCAAGAGGAGUAGGUAAGAGAGAGCGGAUUAGAUGAAAUUGUCAACCCCCAACAACAUUCAUUCAUCCAUUGUUUUCUUUUGUCAAUUGAAUCAACUUUAUUUUGCAUGUUAAUAUUUUUGUUCUCAAAUCCAAUUUAUUAAUUUUUAUUUUCAAGUCUUAUUAUUUU
rnacentral:lncRNA from 1 species